rnacentral:rRNA from 1 species
GAUUAACGCUAGCGGCAGGCAUAAUACAUGCAAGUUGAACGAGAUUAGUUUUAGCAAUAGAACUAGUUUAGUGGCGCACGGGUGCGUAACGCGUAUGCAACCUACCUUAAACAGGGGAAUAGCCUCUCGAAAGAGAGAUUAAUACCGCAUAAUAUAUAUUUAAUGCAUAUUAGAUAUAUUAAACCUACGGGGGUUUAAGAUGGGCAUGCGUGACAUUAGCCAGUUGGUGAGGUAACGGCUCACCAAGGCAACGAUGUCUAGGGGGUCUGAGAGGAUGUCCCCCCACACUGGUACUGAGACACGGACCAGACUCCUACGGGAGGCAGCAGUAGGGAAUAUUGGUCAAUGGGGCAACCCUGAACCAGCCAUGCCGCGUGCAGGAAUAAGGCCCUAUGGGUCGUAAACUGCUUUUGAACGGGAAGAAAUCUAUUUACGUGUAAAUAGUUGACGGUACCGUUAGAAUAAGGAUCGGCUAACUUCGUGCCAGCAGCCGCGGUAAAU